AAAAUUGAAUUGAAUUGAAUUGAACUUCAGACUGGGAGGAUGAGCGGUUAACUGCAGGUGACGGCAUUAAAAUCUGAAUUCAUCUGGAACUGCUGUCAGAGCAACAAGUCCUCGAGCCCCAAGGACAGAUUGCAGGUCAUCGUAAAAUCACUAUGAUCUGCUAUCACAAUGAAAUGUUCUACAUAAUAAAAUAAAAUAUAUAUAUAAAUAUACUGUAAGCUAAAAAGUAUAACCUGAAAUAAAAGAUUCUGACUGUUAAUAGAACAAGAACAUUUAAUUUGACAUUGAAAUAGGAAUUUUAAAACUUUUGCUGAAAAUUGUUCUUGCUAUUAAAGAUGCUUUCUAAGAGAUUUUAGUACAGAUUCACUUUCAGCGUGCAUGUGAUGAUGCACGUGGUAAAAGCACACUGUGAAACAAAAUGAUAAUCCAGGAACAACUCUAACAUCUGGAUUAGUUAAACCACAUUGGGAGAACGGGGUCCUGGUCAGGUUGAGUAGAUGAGCAACUGUCCUGGCUCAUUUAUCUUUUGUCUAACGAUAAACAGCGGUGCAAUAAAUAUGACCUUUGAAAAGUUAACCUGAAGAUUGUUAUCAGUUUAUUCACACCACCGUACUAGUGUACCCAAUAAUGUAAUCCCAUUCUUAAAGGGCCAGUUCACCAAAAUCACACAGGAAAGAAAAAGAUUUUUCAAAGUUUCAUUUUAUUAUUUGAUUAACAAGGACAUGACAGAUGAACACUGUUACAUUAGUAAGAAAGAAACUAAAAUGCUGAAAACCUUUUGGACUGACCAUAGAAGGAAAAGCAGAGGUGUUACAUCGACAACACCUGUGCUGCAUUAACAAUGACCAAUAAGACAUGACAGCAUAAAGAGGACGCUCAAACUCAAGGAGCUAAAUGGAAUCUAGCCAUCAUUAUUUUCCUGCCUUUCCUACAGCAAUGUGUCAAAACGCAUUCUGUGAAAAGAGCCAGUCGUCAGCGCUUAUUACCUGACAUUACCUGUAUUUUUCCCCAGUGGAUUAAAGGGUCAGGCCUCCUACUUCUACCAGCAUGUCGACAUGCACAUACAUGCAAGGACAAACCUCUCUGGCACAGCGAUCCAAACUUCUUCUCAAACAUUUAAUGUGCCAUUUGUUUGUCAACCAGCAUGUCCUUACUCCCAUCAAAGUCAGUGGGUAAAGUCCUCCCGAGGUCCACUGACCGGGACUGGACCCGGCCUCAGUCUCAUUAAAAUGUAGGACAGACUCUCAGAAUCCCAUCGUGAGUUUUGUCUCAUGGGUUUCACGCAAAAGAGGAUUCCUUUGCCGAAGUGUGCAAACAGGAUCCUGAAAGAGGUUCACAGCCCGUUUUUUCCAUUUCUCCAAACUCAAUACGCAGAAAUAGUUUGAGCGGUCAGCAGAGCGUCUACGCCACAGCGGGGAUAAAAUACUGCAGAGACACGUCUUCAUGCAGCAGAAUCAGGUGGAGCACCCUCUCAUGGACGAUGUCUGAGGGGACAAGAGGACAACGUCAGGGGAAAGUAACAGAACCACCGCUGAUAUGGUCAAAACAUGACUUUAUUAUUUUAUAUUAAAAACGUAACAUAUUCACACAUCGAGUGCACACAAAUGGAAAAUGAAAUUUCAAUGUGAUUAAAUUACUUGAACAUCCAUAAGACAGAAGGAAUGAAUGGAAGGGAAAGUAAGAAGGUAAAUUGAAAGGACAAGAGAGAGAAAAUCUUAUUUUUAUAUCUGUAACUUUUAAUGUAACUCCCUGAUAAUUAACUUACUACUCGUGUAAAGACUUUUGUCGGAUUCAUCAUGUUUUCUUCUUUCCAAAAUGUUCUGAGGUUUGAAAUGGUGGUCCAAACUUAUUCCAACAGAGGCAGUAAGGAAGCUGACGCUAAGGAUUGCCUUCCUCAUACUGGAUUAUAGGGGCGUUUCAUUCUGCUAAUGCCCGUCAGGUGAAACACGCAGCGGCUCUUACCUGUGACAGCUCACACCACAUGCUGACCCCUCCGUUGGCCACUUUACCCGACAGGACGAAGAACAGGUUGUCUGGAGUCAGUCGCAGGACGCACAUCUUCGUCAGCUUCGAGAUGGUGGUGAUGACUCCUGGAGAGGACGAGGAAGAGCGGAGUCAUUAACCUCGACAUAUCUAACCUCAGUUUGUUAUAAUCCAGCCACAGACUGCAUCAGAUUAACCAGAUGAUCAAUCAAACAUUAAUCUGAUUCUCACUCUUCAAACAGGAGACAUGAGAACUGUAAGGCUGCAACUACUGAUUAUUUUGUAUGAUAAACGUUUUCAAACGACCUUUAACAAAGAAUAAUUUGAGCUUUUUUUUAAGGGCUGCACGAUUAAUCUAAUCGCGAUGUGGUCAUGUGCGAUUACAUAACCGCAAAAAGUGUGAGAUUUAAUAAAUAGAAAAGGCGUGUGUGACACACCGGUGUUAUGCCGAGUUUUGCAUGCCUGCGUAGAAUUGCAUGCACCUCC